rnacentral:lncRNA from 1 species
ACUAUUGUCCUAUGACCCUGCCAAAUCCCCCUCUGGGAGAAACACCCAAGAAUGAUCAAUUAAAAAAAAAAAAAGUGAUGCAUUACUGUAGCUAAUUCCUUCAUCCAGAAAACAUCAAGAUUGUGAUACAGGCAUAAAAACAGUCUUACAGAUAUAGUAGAGUAAGGCCCAAAGAAAUUCAAUGACCUUCUUUUAGUUCCAAAGAACUUAAUCAUAUAAGAAACUGCACAGUAACAUAUCAGAAUGAAGGUGGAAAUUUCUCUACAGGCAGCUCUGGUCCAAAGCAUUUUUCUGAACUUGAAAGAGGGUAACAAGAAGUGCUUACUAGGAGUUCUCUUCAAGUCAUCAUAAAAAUCAUGACAAAUUUUAUCAUUUUGUAACUCAAGAUAAUUCAAUAAUGUUCAAUUCUAUCUUCUUUUUUUUUUUUUUUUUGAGACAGAGUUUCAUUCUGUCGCCCAAGCUGGAGUGCAAUGGUGCGAUCUCAGCUCACUGCAACCUCUACCUCCCAGGUUCAAGCGAUUCUCCUGCCUCAGCCUCCCAAGUAGCUGGAAUUACAGGUGCCCGCCACCACACCUGGCUAAUUUUGUAUUUUCAGUAGAGACGGGGUUUCACCAUGUUGGCCAGGCUGGUUUUGAACUCCUGACUUCAGGUGAUCCACCUAUCUCGGCCUCCCAAAGUGCUGGGAUUACAGGCAUGAGCCACUGCACCCGACCAAUUCUGUCUUUUUAUAGAUGAGGAAGGCAAGGCCUGAGGGAAUACAAUGACCUCCUUGAAGUAACACAACUAACAAAGUAAAUGAAAAAGCUAAAACUUAGGCUCAAUUCCUCUGACUCUAACUGCAAACUAUUUCCAACGCAAAAAAAUUGUAACAAUGAUGAUGAGUAAAAACCAGAAAAAAUAAAACUUCUGCUUUUUUCAAAGAUAGGGAACAUUCUUGCAAACAUCUACACUUUCAAGGAAAAUCAGCCUUGGAUUUAUUGCCUUGAAUUUAUCUCCAUUCCUAAGCUUUCAUUGUCCUUGUUGGAUGAAAAUUUUGUCACAGACCUGCAUUGGAGAACAAGUGCCUUAGAGUCUAGAGUUCAAAUACCUUCGAGAACCAGGACAUUGCAAAUCGCUGGAUCUGCAUGCAGGGCAGGGAACAAGGGCCCUACAGGAAAGUGAGGCAUUGGCCUUAGGUGCAAAAUUUUAGGGGAUACCAAAAACUUGGUGAUCAAGAUAAAUAACAUUUCAAUAAAACAAAAUUAAUGUAAAAAUCUAUGUAUUUUUAACAAAAUAUCAAUUUUUUUUUUUUUUUUUGAGACGGAGUCUCCCUCUGUUCCCAGGCUGGAGUGCAGUGGUGCGAUCUCAGCUCACUGCAAGCUCCGCCUCCUGGGUUCACGCCAUCCUCCUGCCUCAAUCUCCUGAGUAGCUGGGACUACAGGUGCCCCGCCAACACGCCCGGCUAAUUUUUUGUAUUUUUAGUAGAGACAGGGUUUCACCAUGUUAGCCAGGAUGGUCUUGAUCUCCUGACCUCGUGAUCCGCCCGUCUCGGCCUCCCAAAGUGCUGGGAUUACAGGCAUAAGCCACCGUUCCCAGCCAAAAUAUCAAUUUUUUAAAUACAGACAGGAUCAAUAGCAUACUGAUUUUUCCUUUAUGUCACAACUCCACUGUGGCUCUGCCUAUAUUGACUGCAUGAACGCAAGCCUUGGUGAGAACAGUGGAAAUUAGAGAGCACGUGUCCUGAAAGGUUUCACAUUUAUUACAAAAUACUGUGAUGCUGUGCUGACUGAACUCUGAGGCCACAUAUGCAACCUCUAGCCCUAAGGGGGUCUACCAGUAUGUGAAUAUCAAGAAUCUCAAAAGAAGCCUUACACUCCAUGCGCCUCUCAGGAAUGUAGGUGGGUCAAGGUAGAUUAGCCAGAGUUUCCUUUACAAAAGGAGUUAGAACACAUCAUGCGGAAUGAAGGGAACUGAAAAACUCAGGUUUGGAGGAAAAUGGGGCUAUCCCUUCAAUGCCUGCUGUGGAUGCCAAAUAGAAAACCUGUCCGUUCUAGGGGGAUAAGAGGUCAAGCUCAAUUAAGGGAUCCUGUCUGGAUAUCAGCAAGAAGCAUCAAUGACUUAUGGGGGCAUUCUGAUAAUCUUCCUACCACUGAAAGAAGAGAGAGGGCAAACAAAAAAGGAGCAAUAUGUCGCUCAGAAGGCACUUUGAUGGUAAAGCCACUGUUUGUAGUCUAACUGCAGUGGCUUAUAUUUAUUGAGCACUCUCAGUGCUGAGCACUUUAUAUACAUCACCUCAGCUGGGCAUGGUGGCCCACACCUAUAAUCCCAGCACUUUGGGAGGCCAAGGCGGGAGGAUCGCUUGAGCCCAGGAGUUCAAGACCAGCCUGGGCAACAUAGGAAGAAUUAAAAAAAAGAAAAUAAUAAAAAGCAUUACCUCAUGUCAUGUUGAUAACAUGUCUAUGUGGUAUGUAUUAUCCUUUUUUCAUGAUAAAGAAACUGAAGGUAAUAAUAGCAGAGCUGGGACUUGAACUCAGGUAGUCCGAUUCCAGAGCCUGCAGGUUUAACUACUCACUAUACUGCCUCUUAGGAGUUAAGACAGGUAGAAAGCACUUGCCCAAAAUAAUACUGAUGGAAAGGUGCCUGGAGAAUUUGCAGUCUGUCAAUUCUCCCAGACAUUUCAAAUUUAAGCUUUGGAUCAAGCAAGAGCACGAGCAAGCUGUACAGCCAUCAGCUUGACACUGAAGGACAGUAUAAUCUAACACUGAAGGACAAAAGGAAUCUAACACAAAGAUGCUGUUGAAGGCAUCAUCCUCUACGUUGACACAGUGUCCACCUUACCCAAACCCAUGGGGAAACAUUUAUUGUUGCUGAGUGUCAAGAAAAGCUGUAUCCCUAAAUAGUUGCUUUGUUUGUAAAUGUGAAUGUAGUGAAUUCUAUACCUGUUUGGUUUCCAUCUUUGUUACGGCUGCUAGGAAUUUUUAAGCCAAAUUAAUAUCCUACAUCUAAAAACUCUGCAGGGCCAUAUGUCUGCAAUAUGUGUUUUGGUAUACUAUGCUCACUUCUUGCUUUAUUAGUUUCCUACCCAUAUCCUUCUUUGGUCCUGAUUUCUACAGCUAUGUAUUUUCUCCUUUCCUUCAUUUAUUAUACUGUCACUAAUGUCUUAUAGAAUCAGGUGCCAAGUGAAUGAAUGAACAAUAUUCAAACAAUAAGUUGCCUUUUUAUGAAUUGGAGGAGACAUGUGACACCCAUUCCAGUCUCUGAAUCUCAAUCAGAGAAAAGCCCAGACUCAAUCAACAAGGCAGUGUUUAUGGGAACCCUGUGAUUAAAAGGUGGUAGCAACAGAGCAACUAGCAAAACUGCAAUAUGGUCAGAAAGGGUGAAUGAUGACCUCCUGUUAGCAAAGAGAGGAACUAUAAUGACCACCCCCAGAGAUUACUUGAACCAUGCUGGGGGCCCUGCCAAUGAGAGAAGAACUUUGGAGCACUGAGUUUCCAUUGAUGAUGCCAGUAAAAGUUUGAAUCUGAGACUUCUAUUAGCAUGACCCACACAUUCUUGAAUCCAUCCUUCCAGAGUGCAACAUCCUAUAAGACAUGAUCAUAUACACAUAAAAGCAGCCUAUGUUUUUGCAUUGGUUUGCCCCACUGAUAUGCAGUGUGUCGCUCCAAAUCAUAAUUAAGCUUUUAGGUACAAAGUUUAUCCUAUGUCUACAAGUUAUUAAGUGAUUUCACUUUCAAGGGCCCCCUUAAUGUUCCCAAAGCUACCCCUGUUCAAGUCAUUCAACUUUUUUAUUGAUUCAGUAACACAGACAUAGCACAGCCAGGUUGAUUGGUCUGUUCCAAGUGGUCAGCAGAGGAAAGGGAUGCACAUGAAAAAGGUAAAUUUGGAUCAGGGGAAUCUUAUGAGAAGAGGUCUGGUCAGAGCCUGACUCAGGUUGUGGAAGCAAAUCCACUCUAAAUUCUGUGCUCAGGGGUCCCCCAUUUGGAUACUGAUUGACAGGCUGAUGUGCACUUCACCCCAUGCCUAGACAGUGAUCUGGAGCUCAAAGAUACAUGGUCACUCCAACACUCCUUCUAAAUGAUGAUACCUGCCAUGGAAAAUUUCCUAUGCUACAUUGGAAAUAUCCAUAAAAGACCUUCAUGUUUCUGAAUCAAUCAACCAACAAACAUUUAAGCAUCAACAUCCAUGAGUUCAUUAUUGUGUUAAGUUUGUGGGUGAAACACCCUCCCCACCCCACACACAAACUAAGACAUGAUUGAUGCCCUCAAAUAACUCACUAUUUAGUUGAGAAUAUAAGCUUAUUACAAAUUACAGCAUCCUUAUAAUCAAAGCAUUUCGUAUUAGCAAUAAAAGUUCAAAGAAGGAAUAGGACACUGAGAGUGGGGUUUGUUAGAGUAGAGAUAGAACUUGAGUUGAACCUGAAGAGUAGGUAAAACGUAAUUAUGAGCAGAAAAUGGCAGCACUUAUUCCAUUUUGGGGAGAAGAGGAGGUAAAUUGUAGACUCAGCUAGCCAUAGUAGUUUUGAGCUAAUACCAGAGUUCUCACAUCUCUCUGGUUGACUUAAGAGACAGUGUCAGAUACUCCAGGGAAGGAAGAACAAUCCUUCAAAGACCACAUAACUUAAACAGUUUUGCAGAAUCAAUUUCAGGUUUUACUUUCCUUGUUUACCCAGUUGGACUUCAUUUGAUUCUUUUCCCUUCCAGGUGGGUCUUACUUUCCCAGUUAUAUUUUGAGCUAUAAUAAUGAAAACACAUUUAUUGGAGUUGGUUUAAAAAAAUGUUCAAAAUAUGUUUGCUACAUCUUUUUUAAUGGAAUGUAUUAUCCUUCCAGAUAGCUGUGCUGCAAGUACUGAUUAUGACUCGCUGUACUGGGAUGAGGGUACAUCUUCCAAUUAUAAAAUUAAUGUAACGUAGCUCCAUUUCCCCAAGUCUACUUCUGGCUACCUGGGAGACCUUCAUUUGUCUUGGAGAUGGUGAUGGAAUUACCUAAGGAAUGGGGGGAUACAGCUUAUCCUUGGGUAUGGGGGCAGGAAGAUAAUUGAUUCAAAGCAAGUAGACAGUCUCAAAGCAGCCAGUGAUGUUCCUGAAGCCACUAGAACUAGAUGGAGCCUACAUUCUCCUGUCAAGCUAAGGGCUUUAGAAACACCAGGGAGAGGGAAGCAGCACAUUUCGUUUCUUUGUAAUAAAUCUCCCAUCUUAUUGUCUAAGACAGUUUGCUCUCCUGAGGACACAGGGCCUGCUUCCUAGCCUUUUCCAAUCGAGCUCUUCCUUGCCUACCACCCAUUUCCAUUAAAAUGGUUUACUGGGAUUCGAAAGAGGCAAGCUGCCACAUCAAGCUUUUUAUUUUCUCUGAACUCCCUCCCUCCCCUCCAAUCUCAUUUAGACCUUUUUCCUUUUCUCUCCCUUCCCCACCUUCCCAUCCUUGUCUUCUUCAGUCAUCCAUUAUUACCCAUGGGAUCUCUUUCUAUAGGUCUUCAGAGAGAAACGAUUCCUGGAUUAGAUUUUGAAGCAAAGCAUUAGGAGACUUUAACUCAAUCUCAAUUACUAUUUGACACUAUGCUUUAUGAGUGAAAAAUGCAAUAAAAUAGUGAUUUCUAAAUUUAACUAGCAUUGUGUAAUGCAAUUAUUUAUUACAGAAGGCUAUUGUUUAUCUAUCGCCUGAGCUGUUGGUUAGCGUGAAAAAGACAGUGUACAGGAAGCCCUAGAGAUCGAUCAUUAUCUAAAGUGGUUAAUCAAAUAUCUAGUUUGUUUCCAUGAUUUUUCCUCCAAUAACCAUGUGACCUAUCACACAAUGUACCAGUGGACUAUAAUUCAAAUCCUUAUAUCAAAACUAGAACACAACCUAGCAGGAAAUGCAAAGAGGUGACUUUUUCAUUCUAUUGUUGGAAAUGCUAAAAAAGACAAUUAAGGCAGAGUGAACUAUAUUUUUCUCCCGCUCACCCAUCCUCACUUUGCUCCCUCCCCUAAUAACCAUAAGCUGAAACCACUUAAGGAUUACAAUUAUCUGUCAUCAUUAUUGCCCGUAUUAUGACUAGGCUGCUACCCAUUGCAAAUGACACUUCUGAAAAUGAAAGAUGCUCUUCUGAGAGAUUUUUGUGUGUUUGUUUUUAGCUUUAUAGGCUCCUUCAGGCACAAUGGGGGAGGAUGUUGGGGGGAGAUGGAAAUUCAGUCAGGAAAACAAUUAACUAGCACAGCUUCACUGCACAGUAACAUCAAAUCAUACAGCAAUUAGAACUCUGCAAAACCCCUGGUUUGGUUUCAUGCACAUUUAAGGAUGAAAACUGAUACGUACACUGAGCUGAUGCUAGACUGCAAAUGAAAAAAUCAAAGAGGUAAAUAUUGUAAAAUUUCAUUCUCUGCCUAAUCACAUCUCUGGAAUGGUGAUUUGAGCUAAGAGUAUUUUCCGUCUGUGCACAAGGAAAUUCACCUCUCUCCUCUAGCCUUAGAAAAUUGCUAGAGAACUGUCCACCAUUCCUUUUCUUCUACAUUGAAUAUAAAACAUUAAUUCUUGCCAAAAAAUAGAUUGUACUUGUUGAAAAUAAAGGGGUUAAUUAACCCAUUGUCCCCACAGAUUACCAAAGCCUUGAUUGUUAAAUCCAGAAAAUAAAUAAUUGUAGCUUCAAAAAAAAAAAAGCAAGAUGAAGAUGCUUUUAAAAGUGGGAAAGAUCCACCAAUUCUUGUAUUGUUGAGCUUUACCAUGCAAAAGAAAUUUACCUUUAUCUUAUAAACAUGCCAGUAUA